GUCUACGAUCAUACCACGUUGAAAGCACCGCAUCCCGCCCGAUCUGCGAAGUUAAGCAACGUUGGGCUGACGUCAGUACCAGA
rfam:Trichinella sp. T9 scaffold2844s, whole genome shotgun sequence.